AUUUGAGCAGUAAAAACAGGAAGAAGGGGAAAACAAAACAAAACAGAGAACUUUGGGUAUUUUUAUGAAGAAUACAAAAAAGUGGACAUAAGUAAAACAUUUGAGGACUGUAACCUGUUGAGACUGCUACUUUUACUAUGUGAACUUGAGAGAAUCAGAUUGUUUCCAUUUCCUGACUUCUGGGUAGAGGGGUAUUUGAAACUGCCAAAUGUCUCAAAGGUCAUAUUAAGGGAUUAAUAAAGUAAAAUUUAAAAUUCCUUAAAUUUGAAGUAUCUAUAUGAUAGACUCAUGAAAGGCUUAGGCUAGUUUGAAACCAUUGAGGUUUGCACUUUUUAAAAUAAUACAGUUAGGAGUUGAGUGAAUGUCUUCAUCUGUAAAAGCAAAUCUUCAUCUGUAAAACUGAACUCUUUUAAAAGACAGAUUUAUUUUCUACCUGUAAUAUAUAUUCAUUAUAAAUAUGCCCACAUCCUUCCACUUGGUUUCUAUCUUGAGCAUUUAUCAUAUAUUAACUAUAUAUAAGAAAAAUGAUUUUUGAGGACUGAGGAAGUUAUCAUUCUUAUGGUUAUCCCCAAAUAUUAUUAAUACUCCAUUAUAUGACAGGGUUUUGCAAUUUUCAGGUUAUAUAAAAUAACCCUUAAUGGACAAUCUUUUUAUAUUUAUUUACCUUUAUGCUUGUACAGGUUUUUGUGUAUAGGCAAAUAGACCAUUUUCUUGGAAUAUUGUGUAGUAGCAGAAUCACU
rnacentral:lncRNA from 12 species